UUAUCUUGAAUUCUUUCACAAAUU
rnacentral:siRNA from 1 species